rnacentral:rRNA from 1 species
UACAUGGGGUGCAAACGUUGCUCGGAAUUAUUGGGCGUAAAGCGCGCGUAGGCGGUUACUUAAGUCGGAUGUGAAAGCCCUCGGCUUAACUGAGGAAGUGCACCCGAAACUGAGUAGCUAGAGUACGAAAGAGGGUCGCGGAAUUCCCGGUGUAGAGGUGAAAUUCGUAGAUAUCGGGAGGAACACCGGUGGCGAAGGCGGCGACCUGGGUCGAGACUGACGCUGAGGAGCGAAAGCAUGGGGAGCGAACAGG